rnacentral:lncRNA from 1 species
UACAGAUAUGACCUCGAAUACAAGAGACCGAAAGGUCGAACAUGAGUCGUAUGGUUGAAUACGAUCAGCAUGAAGUUGCUCACCAUGGUGACUAGUCCGUCUCACGUGAUGAUCGGACACGGGUUAGUCAACAUGGAUCAUGUAUCACUUAGAUGACUAGAGGGAUGUCGAUUUAAGUGGUAGUUCAUACUUAAUUUGAUUAAAUGAACUUAAUUGUCAUGAACUUAGUCUAAAAGUUGUCUUUAUA